CACGUAGGGCGCAAGCGUUGUCCGGAAUUAUUGGGCGUAAAGAGCUCGUAGGCGGUCUGUUGCGUCCGCUGUGAAAACUCGGGGCUUAACCCCGAGCCUGCAGUGGAUACGGGCAGACUAGAGGUAGGUAGGGGAGAAUGGAAUUCCCGGUGUAGCGGUGAAAUGCGCAGAUAUCGGGAGGAACAUCAGUGGCGAAGGCGGCUUCCUGGUCCAACACUGACACUGAGGUGCGAAAGCGUGGGGAGCAAACAGG
rnacentral:rRNA from 1 species